rnacentral:rRNA from 1 species
GAUGAACGCUGGCGGCGUGCCUAAUACAUGCCAGUCGAGCGGACGGACGAGAAGCUUGCUUCUCUGAUGUUAGCGGCGGACGGGUGAGUAACACGUGGAUAACCUACCUAUAAGACUGGGAUAACUUCGGGAAACCGUAGCUAAUACCGGAUAAUAUUUUGAACCGCAUGGUUCAAAAGUGAAAGACGGUCUUGCUGUCACUUAUAGAUGGAUCCGCGCUGCAUUAGCUAGUUGGUAAGGUAACGGCUUACCAAGGCAACGAUGCAUAGCCGACCUGAGAGGGUGAGCGGCCACCCGAGAAAUGAGACACGGUCCGGACUCCGACGGGGGGAACAAGUGGGGAAUCUUCCGGAAGGGGCGAAAGCCGAAAGGAGCAACGCUGGGGGAGGAAUGAAGGUCUUCGGAUCGGAAAACUCUUUUAUUAGGGAAAAAAAUAUGGGUAAGUAACUGUACCAAUCUGGACGGUACCUAAUCAAAAAGCCACGGCAAAUUCCGU